rnacentral:rRNA from 1 species
UAUAAGCAAUUAUACAGCGAAACUGCGAAUGGCUCAUUAUAUAAGUUAUCGUUUAUUUGAUAGUACCUUACUACUUGGAUAACCGUGGUAAUUCUAGAGCUAAUACAUGCUAAAAAUCCCGACUUCGGAAGGGAUGUAUUUAUUAGAUUAAAAACCAAUGCCCUCUGGGCUCCUUGGUGAUUCAUGAUAACUUCUCGAAUCGCAUGGCCUUGCGCCGGCGAUGGUUCAUUCAAAUUUCUUCCCUAUCAACUUUCGAUGUUUGGGUAGUGGCCAAACAUGGUUGCAACGGGUAACGGAGGGUUAGGGCUCGACCCCGGAGAAGGAGCCUGAGAAACGGCUACUACAUCCAAGGAAGGCAGCAGGCGCGCAAAUUACCCAAUCCCGACACGGGGAGGUAGUGACAAUAAAUACUGAUACAGGGCUCUUUUGGGUCUUGUAAUUGGAAUGAGUACAAUUUAAAUCCCUUAACGAGGAACAAUUGGAGGGCAAGUCUGGUGCCAGCAGCCGCGGUAAUUCCAGCUCCCAAUAGCGUAUAUUAAAGUUGUUGUGGUUAAAAAGCUCGUAGUUGAACCUUGGGCCUGGCUGGCCGGUCCGCCUCACCGCGUGUACUGGUCCGGCCGGGCCUUUCCCUCUGUGGAACCCCAUGCCCUUCACUGGGUGUGGCGGGGAAACAGGACUUUUACUUUGAAAAAAUUAGAGUGCUCCAGGCAGGCCUAUGCUCGAAUACAUUAGCAUGGAAUAAUGAAAUAGGACGUGCGGUUCUAUUUUGUUGGUUUCUAGGACCGCCGUAAUGAUUAAUAGGGACAGUCGGGGGCAUCAGUAUUCAAUUGUCAGAGGUGAAAUUCUUGGAUUUAUUGAAGACUAACUACUGCGAAAGCAUUUGCCAAGGAUGUUUUCAUUAAUCAGGAACGAAAGUUAGGGGAUCGAAGACGAUCAGAUACCGUCGUAGUCUUAACCAUAAACUAUGCCGACUAGGGAUCGGACGAUGUUAUUUUUUGACUCGUUCGGCACCUUACGAGAAAUCAAAGUGCUU